rnacentral:rRNA from 1 species
UACCUGGUUGAUCCUGCCAGUAUGAUACGCUUCUCUUAAUGAUUUAGCCAUGCAUGUCUAAGUAUCGUGAUUAUAGUGCAAAACUGCGAAUGGCUCAUUAUAACAGUUGUAAUUUGUUUGAUUUAAAUUUUAAAUGGAUAUCCCUGGAAAACCCAGGGCUAAUACAUGCCUUAGCGGACACUCUCCGCGCUUUGAGAUCCAUACAAACACGAGUAUGUGAAUGUUUCUCACCAAGUAAAUCUUUUCAGAUAAAUCAAAGAAGCUUCUGACCCAUCAGCUUUGAUGGUAGUGUAUUGGACUACCAUGGCUUCUACGGGUGACGAGGAAUUAGGGUUCGAUUUCGGAGAGGGAGCUUGAGAAAUGGCUACCACAUCUAAGGGAGGCAGCAGGCGCGCAAAUUACCCAAUCCUGACCAAGGGAGGUAGAGACGAGCAGUAGCAAUGAGGAGCUUAAAUGUUUCUCAAUUGGAAUGGGUGUGUGUUAAAUCUUCACACGAGUAACCAUUGGAGGGAAAGUCUGGUGCCAGCAGCCGCGGUAAUUCCAGCUCCAAUAGC